rnacentral:rRNA from 1 species
GUAGGGUGCGAGCGUUAAUCGGAAUUACUGGGCGUAAAGCGUGCGCAGGCGGUUCGUUGUGUCGGCGGUGAAAGCCCCGGGCUCAACCUGGGAAUGGCCGUUGAAACUGGCGAACUGGAGUGUGGCAGAGGGGGGUGGAAUUCCGCGUGUAGCAGUGAAAUGCGUAGAGAUGCGGAGGAACACCGAUGGCGAAGGCAGCCCCCUGGGCUGACACUGACGCUCAGGCACGAAAGCGUGGGGAGCAAACAGGAUUAGAUACCCUGGUAGUCCACGCCCUAAACGAUGUCGACUGGGUGUUGGGGAAGCGAUUUCCCAGUACCGUAGCUAACGCGUGAAGUCGACCGCCUGGGGAGUACGGCCGCAAGGUUA